rnacentral:lncRNA from 1 species
CAGCUUCAUAAUCUGUUUUAUUCAAGAUUGGAUCCACAGGUGAAAUACACAGAGCAAUAAGAUAAACUUUCUAGGAUUAAAUCUAGAUCAUCCUUGAAUACUAAACAUCUUGUAAAAUACACAAUUAAAAUGAAAUAGUUUCUUAAGCAUCACAAUUUAUCUUCCCGCAUAAAUGAGAAGAAAAUUAGUUUUAAAUAUCUCAGAAGCAGAUUUUCUCCUCCUUCAGAAUCAAAUGGGGCUGAGGACUUUUCGAACAAAGGGAUUGACAGCAAAUACAGACAGCAUCUGUAGCCACCUGCAUUUCUCAUUUACAUCUUUAUUUUUCUCCUUCCUCAAAGUAAUUAAAAUCCUCCUUUUGCUGGAAGGCCUGCAGGGAGAGAGUCAUUGGAGGGAAGUUGCUUUGAGAGACAAGAAGGUCCUGAGGUGAACAAACUUCCUCCAGGUCCCCAGUCAGCAUCAUCUCCACCGUACUGCUGGCAGUGCAGCGCUCCUAGUAAACCUUUCUUGGUGUUGCCUCAGCAGACACUGAUGGCAUAUGGAAAUAACAUUUCCAUUGCUGAGUGGACUGAAUCCAGGUUUGUGCCUCUGCCCCAGGGCUGACUCACUCAACUGACUUUCACCCUGACUGACCCAGCCCCAUUUCGUCUGCAAGAGUCAAACUGUACUUUAGGUAAGUGCAGCUAAAUUUGGGAGAUGAUAACUUUAUUUCUGCAUGUCCACUCAAACAGUCUGUCAGCAAUAAUAAUUCUCCAAGAAUUACCGAUUAAGUCAUACACUUAAAAUUGUUUUCUAAAAACUCCUGUUGUCAUCCAAGAACUUUGACAGUGAAUCUUGUCAUUACAGCUCGUUACUCGUCAGCACCAUCACAUCCAAAAUAAGUAUUUUGGUUUUGCUUGUUCGUUCGUAGGACUAUAAAUGUAGUGAAGGGAUUAUCACUUCAUAUUCUACUUCUUAUUUGCUAGAACUUUCCUCACUUAAUUUUCCCUCUGGGACCUUUGCAAACAUACAUUAUUCUUUUCACGUAUUUUCUUCAAUUCCUCCUCACCUCCAUUAUUACUACUGAAAUUAUUCACUGUCUUUCCCUUUGUAUUUUGUAAAAACCUUAAUUUCCCUCCCCGCCCCAAAUUGUUUAAGGGCUUUCACUUUUGCUUUAUAUCAGAUAGGCUAAAGCUCUAGUUUUCUGUUUUGCUUAAUCCUAAUUAAACUCCUGGCCUACAUACAAACGAUGCCUAUUACCUCUGUGGCAGCUUUUGCUUUUGACUAACCUAGAAAUCUUCAUUUUCUUGCAUAUUUUGUACUAAAGGAAGUUGUCUUUAAAGAUGAGUAACUUUGCUCUUUAAACACUUAAUCAGUGAACACUAUGCAGAGAUGUAAUCUGCCUUCAUCC